rnacentral:lncRNA from 1 species
GGAAGAAGUGUAUUCAGCAUUCUACCUUCUUUCUGAUUCUGUGAGCUUAGACCUGCUUCCACUUUCAAUCUCUCUCAUUGCAGGCCGAAGAGGACUGGCCUUUCAGUGGCCCCCGUGGAGUGGUAGGAAGCUGAGCUGGACUCUCCGCCACAUCGUUCGGUUCCCACAACAGCCUGAUGAAGAAGCAGCAGAAAAAAACGGAAGCCAUUUUGGUUAACGGGUCACAUCUUAGCAGUUGGCAGUGUAAGAAGGGGAAGGAUCCACUGGUCAGAAAUGGAGAUUGAGGUGAAGCUGAGGGCACGGAGGGCUUCAGGGGAGAGACUGUCCUUUGGAAAAGCGGGCAGUUUGCACUCGUGGUAGAUGAGAGGGGAGGCCUCUCAGUCUCUCUGCCCCUUUGCACAUGCUGCACCCGUUUCCAGUUUGAAGUCGUGGAGAGCUCCCCCAGGCACGGGCUGUGUGAAAGGGUUUAAAAGUCUGGGGGCAUGGCUGGGGGUCCCCGCAUGAGGGGUGCUGUGCAGGCUCCCAUCUUUCCUGCCGAUCAUGCUGGGAGCCAAUAGCACCGGCUCCUGAUGCGGGGACUUGCCCUGUGCCAUGACGUGGGGACUCGCCCAGUGCCCUGCGCCCCGGUUCCUGCUGGUUUUGUGCCUUCUGGACUCAUUUCCUUUCCAGGGUCCGCUUCCGACAGGAUCACUGUUUUGGCUGCGGCCGCAGCUUCAUCCGCUUCAGCUCCGAGAUUUUCUCAGAGCAGAGAGCACAGGGAAGCUGGGAGGAGUCCUCCUAGAUGGAAUCUUCCAGAAGCAACUUGACUCUUUUAGGCCUUUGCUGCCAGCUGAGAAGGUGAAGAAAAGUCACCGUUGCAAUAAAAAGAGGGCACUUUGUCUUACUUGGCAAUAAACCACCACAGGCAGCAGCAGCAAUAGCAGCAUCCCCACCCCCACCAAACCCAAAACAAACAAGAAAAGAAAAAGGAAACCUUUGUUUUCAGUGAGAGGAUUGGCAUGAAGAAUCCUUGGGACACAGGAAUCAAUCAAGACCUUUGGAAGCCCCUGCCUACUCUGUCUCUAGAAGCCUCAAGCCCAGCAUCCCCACGCCGAUGUGCUCAUCUCUAGCAAAACACCAGCCUCUCAGCCCUCUCUCCAUAAAGGCCACUAGAAAGUACUGUGAUGCCAGGCUGCUCCACAUCCAGGCAGCCUGGGUGACCACUGCCCUUUAUGAUAAUCAGAAAAAGGUGUCUCCCGAGUAGUUGGAAUUACAGGUGCACGCCACCAUGCCCGGCUAAUUUUUGUAUUUUUAGUAGAGAUGGAGUUUCACUAUGUUGGCCAGGCUGCUCUUGAACUCCUGACCUCAAAUGAUCCACCUGACUCGGCCUCCCAAAGAGCUGGGAUUACAGGAGAAGCUAAAAGUUUUAAAAUAAGUAUAUUAUUUUUGAAUUACUAUAACAGACAUGGACUCCAUUUGAACAAGAUACUUAAUUCCAUCAAAAAAUUGUCAAAAUAUACAAAUUUAGUCACAAGACACUUUACUACCAUCUACCAAAGCUGUAGUAAACACACAUAUUUUCCAUCUUUGGAAUGAAAUAACGUAUAAUGUUUUCCAAAAUAACAAAGAUGUGUCUGCAGUGAAUAGCACUCCCUUUGAUGUGGCAACUGGGCCAAUCGUGUUAACAACUGUGAAUUCAUCUGUUUAAGAAAUUCUUUUAUUGUUUCUUUUCUUUUCCGAGACAGUCUCACUCGUGUUGCCCCGGCUGGAGUGCAGUGGCGCGAUCUUGGCUCACUGCAGCCUCCGCCUCCCGGGUUCAAGCAAUUCUCAUGCCUCAGCCUCCCGAGUAACUGGGAUUACAGGCACGUGCCACCACACCCAGCUAAUUUUUUUGUGUUUUUAGUAGAGACGGGGUUUGACCAUGUUGGUCAGGGUGGUCUCGAAUUCCUGACCUCAGUUGAUCCGCCGGCCUCGGCCUCCCAAGGAAGUGCUGGGAUUACAGGCAUGAGCCACCAGGCCUGGCCUUAUUGUUUCUAUUUGUAAUAAAUCUGUUCCCCUUGC